rnacentral:rRNA from 1 species
GAUGAACGCUAGCUCUAGGCUUAACACAUGCAAGUCGAGGGACCGGCGCACGGGUGAGUAACGCGUAUCCAACCUACCCAUAACUAAGGGAUAACCCAGCGAAAGUUGGACUAAUACCUUAUGGUUAUGGAUGGGGAUGCGUCUGAUUAGCUUGUUGGCGGGGUAACGGCCCACCAAGGCAACGAUCAGGAGGGGUUCUGAGAGGAAGGGCCCCAACCAUGGAACCGUGACACGGGCCAAACGCCUACCGGCGGAAGCAGGUAGGAAGAUUGGUCAAUGGACGCAAGUCUGAACCAGCCAAGUAGCGGGCAGGAUGACGGGCUAUUGGUUGUAAACUGCUUUUAUAUGGGGAUAGGUACCAGAUGAAUAAGGACCGGCUAAUUCCGUGCCAGCAGCCGCGGUAAUAC